rnacentral:rRNA from 1 species
CCUACGGGACGCAGCAGUGGGGGAUAUUGGACAAUGGGGGAAACCCUGAUCCAGCGAUGCCGCGUGAGGGAAGAAGGUUUUCGGAUUGUAAACCUCUGUGGAGGGGGACGAUAAUGACGGUACCCCUUUAGGAAGCCACGGCUAACUACGUGCCAGCAGCCGCGGUAAUACGUAGGUGGCGAGCGUUAUCCGGAUUUACUGGGUGUAAAGGGAGCGUAGGCGGCAAGGUAAGCCAGAAGUGAAAGCCCGCGGCUCAACUGCGGGACUGCUUUUGGAACUAUCUAGCUAGAUUGCAGGAGAGGUAA